GGAUGACUAUUACGUGAAAUGUA
rnacentral:siRNA from 1 species